GGAAGGCUGAUUCAGCUGUCCCAUAACCACGGUGUCUGUCCCCCGACUCAGAUCGGUUAAAUCAAAGGUAAACAAAAGAGGGGCUAUACUUAACAACCUAAUUGGAAUUGAAACUACCACUGCAAUGAUAUAA